AUUGAACGCUGGCGGCAGGCCUAACACAUGCAAGUCGAGCGGAGCGGCGGACGGGCGGGUAAUGCCUAGGAAUGUGCCUGGUUGUGGGAGAUAACGUCCGGCAAGGGGCGCUAACACAGAAUACUAUCAGAUCAGUCUAGGUCGGAUUAGCUAGUUGGUGGGGUAACGGCCUACCAAGGCGACGAUCCGUACCUGGUCUGAGAGGAUGAUCAGUCACACUGGAACUGAGACACGGUCCAGACUCCUACGGGAGGCAGCAGUGGGGAAUAUUGGACAAUGGGCGAAAGCCUGAUCCAGCCAUGCCGCGUGUGUGAAGAAGGUCUUCGGAUUGUAAAGCACUUUAAGUUGGGAGGCGUUACCAACAGAAUAAGCACCGGCUAACUUCGUGCCAGCAGCCGCGGUAAUUC
rnacentral:rRNA from 1 species